UACGUAGGGGGCUAGCGUUGUCCGGAAUCAUUGGGCGUAAAGAGCGUGUAGGCGGUCCGGUAAGUCCGCUGUGUAAGUCGGGGGCUCAACCCUCGAAUGCCGGUGGAUACUGUCGGGCUAGAGUGCGGAAGAGGCGAGUGGAAUUCCUGGUGUAGCGGUGAAAUGCGCAGAUAUCAUCAGGAACACCGGAGGCGAAGGCGGCUCACUGGGGAUUUUCUGACGCUGAGGAACGAAAGCCAGGGGAGCGAACGGG
rnacentral:rRNA from 1 species